ensembl:snoRNA small nucleolar RNA SNORD61
GCAAUGAUGACACUUGUAGUUUUGAUUUUGGUUAUGAAAAUGCAAACACAUCCUCUAAGAAGUUCUGAGCUC